UCGAACGGUAACUUUUGGUGCUUGCACCGAAAGACGAGUGGCGAACGGGUGCGUAACGCGUAUGCAAUCUGCCUUUUACUAGGGUAUAGCCCAGAGAAAUUUGGAUUAAUCCCCUAUAAUAUCAUUUUUCCGCAUGAUUAAAUGAUUAAAGCUUCGGCGGUAAAAGAUGAGCAUGCGUCCUAUUAGUUUGUAGGUGAGGUAACGGCUCACCUAGACUACGAUAGGUAGGGGCCCUGAGAGGGGGACCCCCCACACUGGUACUGAGACACGGACCAGACUCCUACGGGAGGCAGCAGUGAGGAAUAUUGGACAAUGGACGAAAGUCUGAUCCAGCUAUGCCGCGUGCAGGAUGACGGCCCUACGGGUUGUAAACUGCUUUUAUACAGGAAGAAACACCUCGACGUGUCGGGGCUUGACGGUACUGUAAGAAUAAGGAUCGGCUAA
rnacentral:rRNA from 1 species